UCUUGCGCAAUGGCCGAAAGGCUGACGCAGCGACGCCGCGUGCGGGAGGAAGCCCUUCGGGGUGUAAACCGCUGUCAGAGGGGACGAACUUCCGGGGCUGGAAUACGGCUUCGGGCUGACGGUACCCUCAGAGGAAGCGCCGGCUAACUCCGUGCCAGCAGCCGCGGUAAGACGGGGGGCGCGAGCGUUGUUCGGAAUUACUGGGCGUAAAGCGCGCGCAGGCGGGCGUGGCAAGUCGGAAGUGAAAUCCCGGGGCUCAACUCCGGGGCCGCUUCCGAUACUGUUCGUCUAGGGACCGGUAGAGGCCGGUGGAAUUCCCGGUGUAGCGGUGGAAUGCGUAGAGAUCGGGAAGAACACCUGUGGCGAAGGCGGCCGGCUGGGCCGGAUCCGACGCUGAGGCGCGAAAGCGUGGGGAGCAAACAGG
rnacentral:rRNA from 1 species